ensembl:lncRNA
UUUAUUUCCAGCUAACUUCACUCUGUGCUGCUGCUUUUCCUCCACCUAGACUCACCACUCCAUCCUUUUUCUUCUCUCUUUAAGUAGUUUACAAGAGGGAAUUGGUGAAUGCUGUUCUUGGAAAUCUCUAUAGAAAAUAAGAAUUUAACACAUUAGUCAUUUAUAAAUUAUUUUUAAUGUCCAAAUGUAGGGGUAGAUGUCAGAGCUGGUAAGAAGAACAUAGUUUAUCAUUCCAUAGGGACAAAACAUGAAGAGCGUGACAUCUGGAGAGUUCAGUAAUAUAAGUAUGAACAACUGGAAACAGAUGGAUAAUGAGGGGCUCAUCUCCUACUACAUGUCUUCCUGCUUUAAGAAAACGCAAAAUCUGUUUUUACUACCUGGCAAUAUUUUAAAAAGGACUUGCUGUAUCACAGAGGAAGUUGGUAAUAAAGAAACAGAAUUCUUCUGUUUUCUGUGGGGCUAGGAUUUAUUCACACAGGUUGUGCAGGAGAAAUCUGGAAAAACAACCAGUGAUCAGGGGAUUUAAGAUAAGCGGAGGGUGGAGUUCAUUUCUUUUGUCCUUGGAAGUUGAAUAGCAGAAAGGGACAUUUCAGCUUUUCUUGAUAAAGGGAUGGACCUUAUCAAUGUUUACAUGUACCUGAAGGGAGGAUCCAAACUGAACCGAGCCAAGUUCUCUUUGUUGAGUGCCCAGUGCCAGGACAAGAGGCAGUGGGCAUAAACUGGAACACAGGAGGUUCCUUCUAAAUACCGUACAGCACUUCUGUGUAUAUGGCACACUGGCACAGGUGCCUAGAGAGGCUGUAGAGUCUCCUCCUUGGAUUUUGUAAGCUUUGCUGGAACACACUAUGAGGUAUUUAUAGCAGCCCUAUACCAGAUGCAGGCAGAAGGAUGAUACAUGAUCUGGCACAAACUCUACCAAGAUGAAAUUUCUUUUUCAGAAUCUUAAAAUGUAUUUGUAGCAGAAGAAUGGCUUUGUACCUCUUCUGCUUUUUUGUGGUAUGAAGUUUUUGCAACCUUUGUAGAGUGACUGGGCAACAUGAAGCUGCAGUUACUAUCUCAGUGAACCAUGGCUUAUGAUUAUUUUUACUACACACUGAAUAUUAAUAUAUCAAUUUGAUAUUAAAUAUUUGAACACUAUUGAAAUAAGUUUGUCAGCUAGCAGUUGUCAGGGUAUGGUUUGAGAUUUCCCCCCUCUCAUUACAGUAAAGAUGAAGUUUUUCACACUUUUUAAUGAGGGACGGCUUUCUUUUCUCCUUUCCCCCAAAUGCUCCUCCAACACAAGUCUUGUUGUCCUUAGUUGUCAUAAUGUAACCAUUUUUCAUAAAUAGGAGUCAGACUACAAGAUAAAUUCCCAUUUAAAAACAUUAUCAUUUUUUCAAUAUUUUAUUACAUUAUCUGUCUAUCUAUCUACCUAUCUAUCAGUAUAACUGGUGUCAUGGUAAACUGCUACCUGAACUCUGCAACAUGCAGCUGAGUGUGGUGAAAGACAGAGAUGUCUUAAAGUGUGUAAUUGGAUGGGGAAUAUGGGAUUUAUCGGAGUAAAUAUUUGUUGAAUUACACUCAGAUCAGAUGAUGGUGCAGUAUUCUUUCAUAUUAGGAAAUGCUAUUGACAAAGGGUUAAAAGUUUUUCCUUUGCUUUCGUUUCAUUUUAAAUAUUAAUGUUUUCAAGUUUCAGUCAAUCUGUGGGCUUCUUGCAGUAGAUGUGGAAUUGGUGAAGUUUGUUGAAAAUAAAAGCAGGGUGAUUAAAGCAGUUCAACUC